GGUCACUGAGUCUGUUGAGCCUCACCACUUCUAAGUUCAUUGAUACACCCAGUUGUCCCAGCUGAAGAUGGAUCCUCAGAAAAAGAUUCCCGGGAAUGCAAGAAAAAUCUGCCAUUGAAAAACAUAACUUAAUUAUCCCUGUUCUAGAGAAGACCUGGUAAAUAUGAACAGUGUGCAUUCAAAACAAAAUGGCAAAGAAAAAGACUCCAGAAGUUCUCAUCACUUGGAUUUCUAUAUGAUGGCUCUCCACUACUGAUGGCAGCUUUUUGUGUACAUCAAGCC